GAUGAACGCUGGCGGCGUGCCUAACACAUGCAAGUCGAGCGGACAGACGCGGAGCUUGCUCCUCUGACGUUAGGGGCGGACGGGUGAGUAAUAAGAGGAUAACCUCCCUAUACGACUGGGAUAACUUCGGGAAACCGGAGCUAAUAACAGAUAAUAUAUUGAACCGCAUGGUUCAAUAGUGUAGGACGGUUUUGGUGUCACUUAUAGAUGGAUCCGCGUCGCAUUAGCUAGUUGGUAGGGUGACGGCGUACCAAGGCGACGAUGCGUAGCCGACCUGAGAGGGGGAUCGGCGGCACUGGAGCUGAGACACGGCGCCGACUCCUACGGGAGGCAGCAGUAGGGAGUCUUCCGCAAUGGGCGGAGGCAUGACGGUGCGGCGCCGCGUGGGGGAUGAAGGUCUUCGGAUCGUAGUGCUCUUUUAUUGGGGAUGAACAAAUGCGUAAUUAUCUGUGCGCGGCUUGACGGUACCUAGUCAGAAAGCCACGGCUAACUACGUG
rnacentral:rRNA from 1 species